CAGUCGCCACGGUAAUACGGAGGGUGCAAGCGUUAUCCGGAUUUAUUGGGUUUAAAGGGUCCGUAGGCGGACUUAUAAGUCAGUGGUGAAAGCCUGUCGCUUAACGAUAGAACUGCCAUUGAUACUGUAAGUCUUGAGUAUAUUUGAGGUAGCUGGAAUAAGUAGUGUAGCGGUGAAAUGCAUAGAUAUUACUUAGAACACCAAUUGCGAAGGCAGGUUACCAAGAUAUAACUGACGCUGAGGGACGAAAGCGUGGGUAGCGAACAGGAUUAGAGACCCCUGUAGUCCCUGUCUCUUAUAC
rnacentral:rRNA from 1 species